UGACGAUAAUAGCAAGUUGGCACCACCUGAUUCCAUUCCGAACUCAGAAGUGAAACAGCUUAGCGCUGAUGAUAGUGUGGCAUUCGCCAUGUGAAAGUAAGACAUCG
rnacentral:rRNA from 1 species